GAAAUGGCAAAAUUUUGAGCUAAUCCCAUUCAGAGCUGGCAGAAGACUCUGUCCUGGUUUGGUUACAGGCCUCACAACUGUGGAGUUAGCUCUUGCUAAUUUACUUCACAAAUUUGAAUGGGAAUUGCCUAUUGGAAUGAGGAAUGAAGACUUGGACAUAGAAGAGCAGCCAGGCUACACUUAUAACUUCAAAUAAAAUCAAUAUAUCUGAAGAUAAUGUGAUAUCUUUGUUCAUGAAGAAUCCAGGCAGUAGAAUUUUAA
rnacentral:misc_RNA from 1 species